rnacentral:rRNA from 1 species
UACGUAGGUGACCAGCGUUGUCCGGAAUUAUUGGGCGUAAAGAGCUCGUAGGCGGUGUGUCGCGUCGGCCGUGAAAACCUGGGGCUCAACUCUGGGCGUGCGGUCGAUACGGGCAUCACUUGAGUUCGGCAGGGGAGACUGGAAUUCCUGGUGUAGCGGUGAAAUGCGCAGAUAUCAGGAGGAACACCGGUGGCGAAGGCGGGUCUCUGGGCCGAUACUGACGCUGAGGAGCGAAAGCAUGGGGAGCGAACAGG